CAAACCCCUGCCAUCCGGCUCGUCGCACUGCCCCUGCCAAAGCAACAAACGCGCAGACCCUCUCAACGCGGUCAAGAGCAGAGCUGCCGCCGCGGAUCAGCGCUUCCCGGGAAACGCGCGUCAGGGGCAGAUCCAGACGCAGCCACAAAUAGGACACAACCGAAUUUCUGGUAUUGCUGGCAAACUGUCCUGAGGAAAGCCCCUGCAAAUGAAUUGUGCUGACUCCGACUCCCGACACUCGGGCCCGUGGAGUUGACCUGCCGGGGUGCCAAAGAGGACGGGCCAGGAGGGCGGCCAGGGUGGCCUGCGCAGUAGGAAACAAGAGGAUUCAUCUGAUUUAACUGGAGAUGGCUCCCUUUCCUAAUUUUUGUUCCAUUCCUGAAGCUUCCGCCCUGCAGGGCUCAGCGUGAGCAGACAGGAACAUGCGAAGAGGCAACCACUCGAGAGGUACCAGUU